rnacentral:rRNA from 1 species
AUUGAACGCUGGCGGCAGGCCUAACACAUGCAAGUCGAGCGGAGCGGCGGACGGGUGAGGAAUGCCUAGUAAUCUGCCUGGUAGUGGGGGAUAACGUCCGGAAACGGGCGCUAAUACCGCCUACUCUCAGAUGAGCCUAGGUCGGAUUAGCUAGUUGGUGGGGUAAAGGCCUACCAAGGCGACGAUCCGUAACUGAUCUGAGAGGAUGCUCAUUCACACUGGGAAUGAGACACGGUCCAGACUCCUACGGGAAGCAGCAGUGGGGAAUAUUGGACAAGGGGAGAAAGCCUGAUCCAGCCAUGCCGCGUGUGUGAAGAAGGUCUGCGGAUUGUAAAGCACUUUAAGUUGGGAGGCGUUACCAACAGAAUAAGCACCGGCUAACUUCGUGCCAGCAGCCGCGGUAAUAC